GCUGGGACUUCUAUUCUCCAGACCCUGAGGAUGCGGGUCGUGAUGCCCCGAACCCUCCUCUUGCUGCUGUCGGGGGCCCUGGUCGUGACCCAGACCUGCGCGGGCUCCCAUUCCUUGAUGUAUUUCGGCACCGCGGUGUCCCGGCCCAGCCUCGGGGAGCCCCGGUACUUGGAAGUCGGCUACGUGGACGACACACAGUUCGCGCGGUUCGACAGCGACGCCUCGAGUCCGAGGAUGGAGCCACGCGUGCAGUGGUUGAAGCAGGAGGCGCCGGAGUAUUGGGAGCAGGAGACGCGGGGCGCCAAGGACACCGCACAGACUUUCCGACUGAGCCUGAACACGCUGCGCGGCUACUACAACCAGAGCGAAGCCGGGUCUCACACCAUCCAGUGGCUGUCUUCCUGCGAAGUGGGGCCCGAUUGGCGCCUCCUCCGGGGAUACUGGCAGUUCGCCUAUGACGGCGAGGAUUACAUCGCCCUGAACCAGGACCUGCGCUCUUGGACCGCGGCGGACACGGCGGCGCAGAUCACCCGCCGCAAGUGGGAGGCUGCCGGAGCAGCAGAGCAUCAAAGGAACGACCUGCAGGUCACGUGCGUAGAGUGGCUCCGGAAGUACUUGGAGAGGGGGAACAAGACACUGCUGCGCACAGACCCCCCGAAGACACACAUCACCCACUACCCCACUUCUGACCAUGAUGUCACCCUGAAGUGCUGGGCCCUGGGUUUCUAUCCUGCGGAGAUCACCCUAACCUGGCAGCGUGAUGGGGAGGACCUGAUCCAGGACACGGAGUUUGUGGACACUAGGCCUGGGGGAGAUGGGACCUUCCAGAAGUGGGUGGCUGUGGUGGUGCCUUCUGGAGAGGAGCAGAGAUACACGUGCCAUGUGCAGCAUGGGGGGUUGCCCAAGCCCCUCAUGCUGAAAUGGGAGUCCCCUCCUCAGCGCAGCAUUCCCAUGGUGGGCAUUGUUGCUGGUCUGGUUUCCUUUGUGGUCAUCAGUGCUGUGGUGGUUGGAGCUGUCAUAUGGAGGAGGUAGAGCCAAGGUGAAGAGAAAGGAGUUAUGCUCAGUCUGCAUGUAGUGACAGUGCCCAGGGCUCUCUCCAUUGCUAAAGUGUGAGCCAGCUGCCUUGUGGGGGACUGAGUGAUGCAAGAUUUGUUCACUUUCCCACUUUGUGACUAAUGCCCCUGAUAUCUCUUUCUACAAAGGGCUUCGGCAUGUGUCCUCGUUCCUAUUACCAUAAUGUGAGGAGGUGGGGAGACUGCCCCCCGCCUCCAUGACCCCACCCUACACUGACCUGGGUUCUCUUUCCUCAUCUGCUUUCAUGAUCCAGUAGAGGGACAGUGGGCCACCUCCAUCCCUGUCUUUACUUUAUGUUUCACUGUGCUACAACUUCUUACUUCCUUGUUGAACGUAGGGCUCUGGAUGUGAAUUUGUUUUUCCAGUUCUGGUCAUGAGGAGUUGAUCAGUUAGUUAAAGAAGAAGAUUCCUAAAGUUUGAGAGGGGAAAGAAAUGGAAACCCUGAGAACCUCCCAGAAGCUGCAGGUUUGGUGUGCCGAGUCUGCUCUGGGUGGGGACAGGAGAAAGCUGUGAGGGGCCUAGCGUGGUGGAGUCUCAUGCCCAGUUGGUACAACAUGGAUGUGACCUGGUCACUGCUCAGCUGGGGAACCUCUUUGCGCUUUUGUCUUUGUCCCUCCAGUAGCACCUGCCUUUCCGGGACUGUGAUCACUCAGGAUAUCACCUGGAUAUCUGGAUAUUGCCCAGACCUCGUCCUGCCUCCAGGACUAUGGGCAACAAGACAUUGUAUGGCCGGGUCAGCUGAGGCUCAGGCCUGGGUCGGGCCUCAGUCCCGUCUCUGGGUGUUUAUUCGUUGUUUCUUUGUUUCUGUAGAGCAUUAGGCCCGUUCUCUUUUUUGUGUGGGAGUUCUGGUCUAAUUCACCUGUGGGUGUCUCCUCGGUGACAGCAGAAGGAGAUGUUUGGCCUGUCGGCGUCUGCACAAGGCCCUGGGUGGCCCUGUGCAUAGGAAUCUGUAGUAUCCAGAGGUUAUUUUCAGGCUCAUUCAGGUCUUGCCCUCCUUCUCGGGCUUGAUUGUUCUUCCCAUCUUUUCUGAAGUCUUCUGAGAGGAGCAGAUUCUAGCAGACAGGAAGCAUGCCAUAAUUUCUUAUUUUAAAUUAGUUCUUGUUCUGUUUCCAUCCUCUGCUUGCCCACCCUCUGCCCUGGUGAUCCUGGUGCUGGCUCCAGCUCCAAGUCAUGGAGUUAUGAAGCAGAGUCUCCUUAGAUUUAUAUUUGGUUGGGAAAUAGCACCUGUGAAUCGAGGAUGGUUUUUGAAAAUGGGCAUCUCCUUGGUGUGCAGGGGAGUUGGUGUGAGAGUGGGGAUGGGAGGGGGAGGGCAGUGCUGUGAGAGGAGCACAGGGGCACUAAUGGCAGUGUGAAGGGUGAUUGUGCUGUUGCUGCCACAGAGCUGCUGUGGUCUGAGGCUACAUUAGUAAAGAUACUGCCUCCAGAUUAGGGAGGUGCUCUGCACCGAUUGCUCCUUCUCUGUGUGUGUUGUGUGCAAGAUAUAUGACACACUGUUUUCUGCAUCUGGGAAACACGAUAGAAGUUUCUGUGUUUAGGACAAGGCGCUGCUGCUGGUCUUUACAUCACACUUUCAGUAGCAAGAAUGGAGAUGAGGAUUCCCACACGGCUGUGCAUCGGCCUCACUUGCAGGGCUCGUUAAAUAAGCGAUUCCUUGAUCUUGCACCGAGGACUCUGUGGAUCUGGGGAGAGGCCUGUGCAUUUUGUGAGAAGCCUGGCGCUCAGCCAGAUCUGGAGCCAGUGAGGUCAGCGAUCAGAGCAGCCAGCCUGGGGAGGGGCAUUAAAGCCACAUUUAAAUGUGUGUGUGUUUUUUUUUUUUUUUUUUUUUUAAUCUUUGGAGAGGAAAGGGAAGGCAUAACGUUGUCAAUAUGAGAUGUGGUGUUGUGAGAUGUGUGUUAUCGUAUCCCAGGGUAUGGUUGGGUGGGAGGACUAGGGAGUGGUUCGCGGUUCAGUGUGACGAACACCUCGGAAUGCUUGCUCUCGGCAACUACUUCCCUGAUUGACUUUUCAGAGCAAACAAUGGGAUCUAAGCUUUUUUGAACUUAGCCAAAAGGUACUGUGCGCACACACACACACACACACACACACACACACACACAUACAUUUUAUAUGCAUAUAAAGUAUUCUUUUGGGGAAGAUUGUAGAACAGGCUUUGGCUACACAGCCAGGAACAGAGUCCACAAGUGCACGUUAGGGUGGGUCUCACACAGGAACUGCGGCCUCUGCUGCUGGGCACAGACGUCACUGCUCACACUGCUGCCUCCGUUGAAGCAGGACACUGGCCCCUGCGGCUAGGACUGACAUCGCUGCUGCUUGUGGGACCGGGUGACACACUGCCACUCACGCCGCCUGUGCAAGUACAUUCUGCACAGCUGCACCUUCUCUUUGUCACCAGGUCCAGCAUGUGGUUACCUGCCUGGCAGAGCCUCACGCCAUGUCUAACUGGAAGGAUGUUGGGACAGCAGGUCCUUCCUCUUCUGUGGAGAGAGGCGGCGUCUUCCAAAGACUCUAACUGUGGAAUUCUCAUGUAGGGGGGCAGUGCCGGUGCUGGGGGUGAGGGCUGGAGAAAGGACGGCUGAUUGCCAUUCUCGGAGCACAGACCUGAGGCUGCAGCUUGAUCUGGUGCCCUGCAGGCACUCAGGCUCAGUUGGAGGAGCAAGUUUCUAGUAAACGACAUCGCUCUUCUUGUUCCCUGGA